UACGGGGGGAGCAAGCGUUGUUCGGAUUUACUGGGCGUAAAGGGCGCGUAGGCGGCGCAACAAGUCACUUGUGAAAUCUCCGGGCUUAACCCGGAGCGGCCAAGUGAUACUGUCGUGCUAGAGUGCGGAAGGGGCUACUGGAAUUCUCGGUGUAGCGGUGAAAUGCGUAGAUAUCAGGAGGAACACCGGUGGUGCAGACGGCUCUCUGGACCGUAACUGACGCUGAGACACGAAAGCGUGGGUAGCAAACAGG
rnacentral:rRNA from 1 species